AUGGAGAUGUUCGGGUGUAUCAGAUUCCGUUUCCCUUUUGUGGUGGGUAAGAUUGGAGCAAGCUCACAUCACCUGGCGCUCGGCCGCGUCCGCGACGAUGGGCAGGCGCGGCGUGAUCCCGAGCAGGCAGGCGCCCCCGCCGUAGACGAGGGAGACGAGCAGGAAGAGGAAGACGGUGUUCUCCAGGCUGGUGAAGAUGUCGAGCCCGAUGCCGCCGCCCGAGGGCGCGAAGGACUGCGCGAGGAGGUCCGGGACGAUGAGCAGGACGUCGAGCGCGACGGCCUGCAUGGCGUUGAAGCGGACGAAGCGGGAGAAGGCCUGCUGGUUGCGGACGACGGCGAAGUAGAGGGUGAUGAAGAGGAGGAAGGGCGUGAGCGGCGAGGAGUGGAAGAGGCGCGCGGCGGGGCCGAGCGGGCUGAGCACGGCGUUGAAGACCGGGUACUGCGCGACGAGGAAGCGGCCGUGGUGCGCGCCGUCGAGGAACGGGUAGAGGUAGGCGACGGCCGCCACCAGGCGGUCCGGCGCCCCCACCGCGUCGCUGUUGUCGUUGUUGGCGCGCGGCGGCGGGGCGAGGAGGCCGUGGGGGCGGCGGGGGAGGAGCGCGGCGGCCGAAGAGGGGCCGAGGAGGGGGAGGCGCGCGCGGGCCGCGGGGGGGCUGAGGAGGGACGGGGCCGCGCGGUGGAGCGGGCGCGGGGACGAGAGGAGGAGCGAGACGGCGGAGGCCAUGGCGCGCGGGCGGGGGAUGGCUGGGGAUUUCUGAGGGGCGUGUGUGAGGGAUGCGGCGGUGGCGGAAGGGCGUUUGGCUUGGCGGCGGCGGCUGCUUGCCUCCGGGCGAGCGGGUUUGGGGACUGGGAGCGGAGAUUUUUGUGGAGUUUUGGGGGAUGUGGCCGAGUGGGGGACGAGGAGAUUGGUUGGUGCUGCUGCCGUGGUGGGAAGGAAGGGAACGGAGGCCGGCCACCGGCGUGA
rnacentral:rRNA from 1 species